AUAUAUAUCCUAGGAAAAACCAAAACUGAUUUUUUUUACUGUGUUCAAAUUUUUCAGAGGUCAUAUUCAUAAGAAUUGCAAGCCUUAUUUCAUGGGAUGGUUACCUGUAAAAUGCGAAACGAAAUCGAAAGGAAACGAAAUCUACCGAAGCAAAACGAAACCUACCGAAACGGGUACCCUUAUUUCAUACGACAUGCCUGCUGUUGUAGGCACGGUGAAAUAAAUACAGUCGUGGAAAUAAUUUCGAAAAUUGGUCGCGCUGGUAGGGAUGGCUCCAUGGCAAUAGCUGUAGAGCAGGAAGUUAAAGACAUUUUUACGACCACAAAAUGCAGGAGAAUGGCUCUACUGAAACCAAUUUUAACUGAACAGAACAGGUUUCAACAGAUCCCUCUCAUAGGUGUUGUGAUAUUUGCACUUCAAUGUGCAAGUGCAAUGAAUGUGACAAAGACUUGUUUUCUCUAAAGAAAAUGUUGAAGGAUAGUGCAUCCGAUUCAAACAUGAUUUGGAAUUGUUGAUGGAAUCGAUUUUGAUUAGAUAAAAAAAAAUAUACUGAAAGACUUUAAAAAUGCUGUUGGUUCGGAUAGAAUUUGCCUUCUAUAUGAAAAUUGUUGAUGCAUGUAGUUCAUUUCUAUUUCAAGAUUUUGCAUACAAUCUUUUUAAAAUCUGAAUAAGCAACAUGUGAAAUUUAUCAGCGAUUUAAAAUCCGUAAGUGUAUCAAAGUACAGUAAUUCUUAUUGUUUGUAAUGGUUUGGAAAAUCAUUCUAUAAUUUUACGACGCUUACUGUAAACAUUACAAUUUUGAAUACAUUUUUUUCCUAUAAAGAAAAACUGAGUGAAUCACAAACAAUAGACUUUGUCAAUUUUCAUGUAAUAUGAAGAAGAAAUAUUAUUUAUA